rnacentral:rRNA from 1 species
GACGGAGGGUGCUAGCGUUGUUCGGAUUUACUGGGCGUAAAGGGCGCGUAGGCGGCCCUGUCAGUCGGGUGUGAAAGCCCGGGGCUCAACCCCGGAACGGCACCCGAGACGGCAGGGCUGGAGACCGGGAGAGGGUAGCGGAAUUCCCAGUGUAGAGGUGAAAUUCGUAGAUAUUGGGAGGAACACCGGUGGCGAAGGCGGCUACCUGGACAGGUACUGACGCUAACAGCGCGAAAGCUAGGGGAGCAAACAGG